rnacentral:rRNA from 1 species
AUACUGGUUGAUUCUGCCAGAGGCUACUGCCAUCAGAGUUCGAUUAAGCCAUGUUAGUUAAGGGGACCUUCCUUCGGGAGGUAACCCGGCAGACGGCUCAGUAACACGUGGACAAUUUACCCUUGGGACCAGGAUAACCCCUGGGAAACUGGGGCUAAUACUGGAUAGAGCAUCGGCUGCUGGAAUGCGCGAUGUUCGAAAGCUGAGGCGCCCAAGGAUAGGUCUGCGGCUGAUUAGGUUGUUGUUGAUGUAACGGAUCAACAAGCCCGCGAUCGGUACGGGUUGUGAGAGCAAUAGCCCGGAGAUGGGUUCUGAGAAAAGAACCCAGGUCCUACGGGACGCAUCAGGCGCGAAAACUUUACAAUGUGCGAAAGCGCGAUAAGGGAACUCUGAGUGCCUCCUAAGGAGGCUGUUCAGGUGUCUAAAAAGCAUCUGGAGUAAGGGCUGGGCAAGACCGGUGCCAGCCGCCGCGGUAACACCGGCAGCUCAAGUGGUAGCCAUGUUUAUUGGGUCUAAAGCGUCCGUAGCCGGCUGAGUAAGUUCCUUGGGAAAUUUGACCGCUUAACGGUUAAGCUAUCAGGGAAUACUGCUUGGCUUGGGACCGGGAGAGGUCAGAGGUACUCCAGGGGUAGGGGUGAAAUCUAUUAAUCCUUGGGGGACCACCGGUAGCGAAGGCGUCUGACCAGACCGGGUCCGACGGUGAGGGACGAAGGCUGGGGUCGCGAACCGGAUUAGAUACCCGGGUAGUCCCAGCUGUAAACGAUGCGGGCCAGGUGUUGGCAUUACUGCGAGUGAUGUCAGUGCCAAAGGGAAGCCGUUAAGCCCGCCAUCUGGGGAGUACGGUCGCAAGGCUGAAACUUAAAGGAAUUGGCGGGGGAGCAC